rnacentral:rRNA from 1 species
AUGAGUCCGAGGAUGCAGGGGGGUGGGGAGCAGGAGGAUGCAGAGGGCGCGGGGAGCAGUAGGUUGGGUCAGAACUGGAUGAUGAGUGUGUGGGCCACUCGACGGUGCUCUCUCGGAGAUGCGUCGCAGGUCACGGACGACGAGGAGCUGAAGAAAGGUAGCGGCCUGGGAAUCUACAGAGGAAGGAGAUGCGUCGCAGACUCGCAUGUCACGCACAAGGAGCCGGAAGAAAGUAGCGGCCCUUGGAAUUUACAGUGCAAAGCUUAUGUGCUAACCUUUGUAAUCUAUGUGGUCUGUUGUGCUUCUGCUGCAGCAGCUUGGAGGCGCGGCAGCUCCCGUUGA